rnacentral:rRNA from 1 species
UACGUAGGGUGCAAGCGUUGUCCGGAAUUAUUGGGCGUAAAGAGCUCGUAGGCGGCUCGUUGCGUCGGCUGUGAAAACCCGCAGCUCAACUGUGGGCUUGCAGCUGAUACGGGCGGGCUGGGAUUCGGUAGGGGAGACUGGAAUUCCUGGUGUAGCGGUGAAAUGCGCAGAUAUCAGGAGGAACACCGGUGGCGAAGGCGGGUCUCUGGGCCGAUAUCGACGCUGAGGCACGAAAGCGUGGGGAGCAAACAGG